CACGUAGGGGGCAAGCGUUGUCCGGAAUUAUUGGGCGUAAAGGGCUCGUAGGCGGUUUGUCGCGUCGGGAGUGAAAACACGGGGCUUAACCCCGUGCCUGCUUCCGAUACGGGCAGACUAGAGGUAUGCAGGGGAGAACGGAAUUCCUGGUGUAGCGGUGAAAUGCGCAGAUAUCAGGAGGAACACCGGUGGCGAAGGCGGUUCUCUGGGCAUUACCUGACGCUGAGGAGCGAAAGUGUGGGGAGCGAACAGG
rnacentral:rRNA from 1 species